CUCUAAUAUUAGUUCAGAUUAUAUAUUUUAAGGAAUAUAUACAGUAGCAUAUUAGAUAUUAAAGAGAAUUAUUCCUUCCUAAUUUAGGUAAAAAUGUAUCAUUUAGAUUAUGUAUUAGUAAACUUAGUUGAAUAUACGUAAUCUAA
ncrna:unclassified sequences RT-14 RNA